GGAUUGAGAUAUAUGAAUGAAGAGAAUGGAUAUCUUUCAUGUUACAGGCAACAAGCAGAGUUCAUACUCCAAGAAUUUUCAAGGGGAGCAUUAACAGCUUCCAAGAUGACUAUUCAUAUUGAUAAUUUCUGCUUUAAGUAUCCUUCCUUUUUAGUUUUUUCUCUUCUUUUAAUUUAUUUCAAAUUCAGUUUUGUUUCUGUUAUCGAUGAAGUUGUUGUCAUGCUUGCAAUUUUCUGUUAUGCCUCAUAUUCUUCAUUUACUUGUACCCCUUUAUCACAGGCUAAUCUUUCAGAAAAUAGAGUUUAUGUUGAGUCUAUUAAAAUUCCAUUUAAGCCAUAGACUUUAAAUUAAUGGCACUUGCCUUUUUUUGGCUUUUUAUUCCUCUCUAGUUCCUGAAGUUGCAUUGCAUUAAAUUUGAUUAUGAUUAUACUCUUUUGGUAUUAAGCUACUUGGUCGAGAAUGGAGUUGUUUUCAUUGUGUUGUGUGAGUUCACGUACCCAAGAAAACUGGCCUUCCAUUACCUACAAGAUAUACAAAAGGAAUUUGAGAAGUUUGAUAAAACCCUCAUAGGCAAAAUCACAAGGCCAUACAGCUUUGUCAAAUUUGGUAAUUCCCUUGAACCACUAGUCUGCUACAAUGAUAUCAUUGUCAAGCACUUGGUGUUAAUGUUUGCUAAAUAAGGAAAUGGAGGUCCACUUUUUUUUUUCCCCAAUAUUUUCUCUUUGUGAAAUUUUUGUUUUGUCAUAUUUCCUUGCCAAACAAGUCACAAUUUCUUUGUCAGAUGGUAUAAUUGCAAACAUUAGCAGACAAUACAUCGAUACAAGAACUCAGGCCAACCUAUCAAAACUUAAUGCUAACCGGAAACAAGAUUUAGACAUUGCCACUGAAGACAUUUACAACAUUUUAGAAAGGAAGAGAAAUUCAGGUAAGAAACAAUGAGAAGCUCACCGGUUACUCUUCUGCCUGAAUCCACAAUAUGGUGUUCCCCACGCCUUGAGGUGAUUGCGUUGAAAUGGACACCUGUUAUGAUCAUUGUCAUUACUUCUAUGGCUCUUCUAUGGGCUAGCUUAGCCGACUUUAUUGUUUAAAGCUGGUGACUAUCCCUGAGAUCAUGACUAAAGAAGAUGGUUUAAUACCAUAAAACUUCAAUGCGCUGCAAGGACUUAAAUAAUAUGUCAUGGUCCACUAGUAUUGAAUAUGAUACAACAUUGAUGUGGAGAAAAAAAUAAAGAUAUGGAGUGGUCCAUUGCUAUCCCUUCCCCAGCACAUAAUCUAGGGAAAACAAAGAAAGAGAGAUACAGAAUGAAGAAGAAAAAGUCUGAUUUGUCACGGAAUUUCUACUCUCUACCUUGAAAGUGAAAAUUUUCCUUUUGAUACACUCGACUGACACGAGUUGCCUUUGAUAUUUUUAUAUGUACUAAAUCAUUUGUAAACAUGGUAAUAAAUUGGUAUUUGUCAAAUUUAUUAUAUAAUUUAUGAUUAUUAUAUAUAUUAUUAAGUUGGUGUC